CUGGCGGCGUGCCUAACACAUGCAAGUCGAACGAGAAAGUGGAGCAAUCCAUGAGUACAGUGGCGUACGGGUGAGUAACACGUGACUAACCUACCCUCGAGUGGGGAAUAACUUCGGGAAACCGAGGCUAAUACCGCAUAAUGUCUACGGACCAAAUGCGCAAGCAGCUUGAGGAGGGGGUCGCGGCUGAUUAGCUUGUUGGCGGGGUAACGGCCCACCAAGGCAAUGAUCAGUAGCCGGCCUGAGAGGGCGCACGGCCACACUGGAACUGAAACACGGUCCAGACUCCUACGGGAGGCAGCAGUGGGGAAUUUUGCGCAAUGGGGGAAACCCUGACGCAGCAACGCCGCGUGGAGGAUGACGCCCCUUGGGGUGUAAACUCCUUUCGAUCGGGACGAUUAUGACGGUACCGGAUGAAGAAGCACCGGCUAACUCUGUGCCAGCAGCCGCGGUAAUACAGAGGGUGCAAGCGUUGUUCGGAAUUAUUGGGCGUAAAGGGUGCGUANGCGGUGCGGUAAGUCUUCUGUGAAACCUCCGGGCUUA
rnacentral:rRNA from 1 species